rnacentral:rRNA from 1 species
CGGAUAUGAACGAUUCAUCGUUCUAAGUGAGUGACGUCACACUGCCAAGAAAAGCUUCUAAUUAGAAUCAGACCGCCCGUACCGCAAACCGACACAGGUAGUCGGGUCGAGAAGACCAAGGUGAGCGAGAGAACUCUCGUUAAGGAACUCGGCAAAAUGACCCCGUAACUUCGGGAGAAGGGGUGCUGAUCGCAAGAUCAGCCGCAGUGAAUAGGCCCAGGCGACUGUUUAUCAAAAACACAGGUUUCUGCAAAAUCGUAAGAUGAAGUAUAGGGGCUGACGCCUGCCCGGUGCUGGAAGGUUAAGAGGAUGGGUUAGCGUAAGCGAAGCUCAGAAUUGAAGCCCCAGUAAACGGCGGCCGUAACUAUAACGGUCCUAAGGUAGCGAAAUUCCUUGUCGGGUAAGUUCCGACCCGCACGAAAGGCGUAACGAUCUGGGCACUGUCUCAACGAGAGACUCGGUGAAAUUAUAAUACCCGUGAAGAUGCGGGUUACCCGCGACAGGACGGAAAGACCCCAUGGAGCUUUACUGUAGCUUGAUAUUGGGUGUUUGUACAACUUGUACAGGAUAGGUAGGAGCCGUAGAAGUCGGGACGCUAGUUUCGACGGAGGCAUCGGUGGGAUACUACCCUCGUUGUAUGAACACUCUAACCCACGCCGGCAAUCACGGCGGGAGACAGUGUCAGGUGGGCAGUUUGACUGGGGCGGUCGCCUCCUAAAAGGUAACGGAGGCGCCCAAAGGUUCCCUCAGAAUGGUUGGAAAUCAUUCGCAGAGUGUAAAGGCAUAAGGGAGCUUGACUGCGAGACCUACAAGUCGAGCAGGGACGAAAGUCGGGCUUAGUGAUCCGGUGGUUCCGCAUGGAAGGGCCAUCGCUCAACGGAUAAAAGCUACCCUGGGGAUAACAGGCUUAUCUCCCCCAAGAGUCCACAUCGACGGGGAGGUUUGGCACCUCGAUGUCGGCUCAUCGCAUCCUGGGGCUGUAGUCGGUCCCAAGGGUUGGGCUGUUCGCCCAUUAAAGCGGUACGCGAGCUGGGUUCAGAACGUCGUGAGGCAGUUCGGUCCCUAUCCGUCGCGGGCGCAGGAAAUUUGAGAGGAUCUGUCCUUAGUACGAGAGGACCGGGAUGGACAUACCGCUGGUGUACCAGUUGUUCUGCCAAGGGCAUCGCUGGGUAGCUAUGUAUGGAUGAGAUAAACGCUGAAAGCAUCUAAGUGCGAAACUCACCUCGAGAUAAGAUUUCCCACUCC